AGGCUCUGCCAACUGCCCUUUGCUCUGAGUUAUUUUUUUGAAGAUUUUGUGUGUGUGUGUGAUUUUGUUUGACAGAGUCCUAGCAAUGCUAUACCCUCGGACAGAUUCUUGAGUCCCUCCGACUAGGUUGAUAAGAUCAAUUAUC
rnacentral:lncRNA from 1 species